rnacentral:rRNA from 1 species
UACGUAGGGGGCAAGCGUUGUCCGGAAUCAUUGGGCGUAAAGCGCGUGUAGGCGGCUCGGUAAGUCCGCUCUGAAAGUCCGGGGCUCAACCCCGGGAGGCGGGUGGAUACUGCUGAGCUCGAGUCCGGAAGAGGCGAGUGGAAUUCCUGGUGUAGCGGUGAAAUGCGCAGAUAUCAAGGAGGAACACCAAUGGCGAAGGCAGCUCCGCUGGGACGGUACUGACGCUGAGACGCGAAAGCGUGGGGAGCAAACAGG